CAAAGAUUAAGCCAUGCAUGUCUAAGUACACGCCUUAACACGGCUAAACUGCGAAUGGCUCAUUAAAUCAGUUAUGGUUCCUUAGAUCGUACAAUCCUACUUGGAUAACUGUGGCAAUUCUAGAGCUAAUACAUGCAACACAGCUCCGACCUCGCGGGAAGAGCGCUUUUGUUAGCCCAAAACCAAUGCGUCGACUUCGGUAGGCGCUCACACAUGGUGACUCUGGACAACUUUGUGCCGAUCGCACGGCCUUCGCGCCGGCGACGUAUCUUUCAAGUGUCUGCCCUAUCAACUUUCGAUGGUACGUGCUAUGCCUACCAUGGUGAUAACGGGUAACGGGGAAUCAGGGUUCGAUUCCGGAGAGGGAGCAUGAGAUACGGCUACCACAUCC
rnacentral:rRNA from 2 species